UGAGCAAUCUGCCCUUCUCAUCGGAAUAAGCGUUGGAAACGACGUCUAAUGCCGAAUACGACCUCCUUUCGCAUGAUCGGAGGUGGAAAGCUCCGGCGGAGAAGGAUGAGCUCGCGGCCUAUCAGCUAGUUGGUGUGGGUAAUGGCCCACCAAGGCGACGACGGGUAGCCGGCCUGAGAGGGUGACCGGCCACACUGGGACUGAGACACGGCCCAGAUUCCGUACGGGAGCAG
rnacentral:rRNA from 1 species